AGAAUCCCGUCCACCGAUUGACUAAGGUUUCCAGAGGAAGGCUCGUCCGCUCUGGGUUAGUCGGGUCCUAAGCUGAGGCCGACAGGCGUAGGCGAUGGAUAACAGGUUGAUAUUCCUGUACCACCUAUAAUCGUUUUAAUCGAUGGGGGGACGCAGUAGGAUAGGCGAAGCGUGCGAUUGGAUUGCACGUCUAAGCAGUAAGGCUGAGUAUUAGGCAAAUCCGGUACUCGUUAAGGCUGAGCUGUGAUGGGGAGAAGACAUUGUGUUUUCGAGUCGUUGAUUUCACACUGCCGAGAAAAGCCUCUAGAUAGAAAAUAGGUGCCCGUACCGCAAACCGACACAGGUAGUCAAGAUGAGAAUUCUAAGGUGAGCGAGCGAACUCUCGUUAAGGAACUCGGCAAAAUGACCCCGUAACUUCGGGAGAAGGGGUGCUCUUUAGGGUUAACGCCCAGAAGAGCCGCAGUGAAUAGGCCCAAGCGACUGUUUAUCAAAAACACAGGUCUCUGCUAAACCGUAAGGUGAUGUAUAGGGGCUGACGCCUGCCCGGUGCUGGAAGGUUAAGAGGAGUGGUUAGCUUCUGCGAAGCUACGAAUCGAAGCCCCAGUAAACGGCGGCCGUAACUAUAACGGUCCUAAGGUAGCGAAAUUCCUUGUCGGGUAAGUUCCGACCCGCACGAAAGGCGUAACGAUUUGGGCACUGUCUCAACGAGAGACUCGGUGAAAUCAUAGUACCUGUGAAGAUGCAGGUUACCCGCGACAGGACGGAAAGACCCCGUGGAGCUUUACUGUAGCCUGAUAUUGAAAUUCGGCACAGCUUGUACAGGAUAGGUAGGAGCCUUUGAAACGUGAGCGCUAGCUUACGUGGAGGCGCUGGUGGGAUACUACCCUAGCUGUGUUGGCUUUCUAACCCGCACCACUUAUCGUGGUGGGAGACAGUGUCAGGCGGGCAGUUUGACUGGGGCGGUCGCCUCCUAAAAGGUAACGGAGGCGCUCAAAGGUUCCCUCAGAAUGGUUGGAAAUCAUUCAUAGAGUGUAAAGGCAUAAGGGAGCUUGACUGCGAGACCUACAAGUCGAGCAGGGUCGAAAGACG
rnacentral:rRNA from 1 species